rnacentral:rRNA from 1 species
GACGAACCGUGCGAACGUUGUUCGGAAUCACUGGGCUUAAAGAGCGUGUAGGCGGCCAAGCAGGUCAGCUGUGAAAACUCGAGGCUCAACCUCGAGACGUCGGUUGAAACCGCUUGGCUAGAGUCCGGAAGAGGAGAGUGGAAUUCCCGGUGUAGCGGUGAAAUGCGCAGAUAUCGGGAAGAACACCCGUGGCGAAGGCGGCUCUCUGGGACGGUACUGACGCUGAGACGCGAAAGCGUGGGGAGCGAACAGG